UUGGAGGGCAAGUCUGGUGCCAGCAGCCGCGGUAAUUCCAGCUCCAAUAGCGUAUAUUAAAGUUGCUGCAGUUAAAAAGCUCGUAGUUGAAUUUCGGGGUCAGUAGGUCGGUCGUGCCACUGGUAUGAACUGGUUUUACUGAUUCCUCCCUCUUGAAGAACUGUAAUGCCAUUAAUUUGGUGUUGCAGGGAAUCAGGACUGUUACUUUGAAAAAAUUAGAGUGUUUAAAGCAGGCUUUAGCUUGAAUACAUUAGCAUGGAAUAAUGAAAUAGGACGUUUGAUCCUAUUUUGUUGGUUUCUAGGAUUGACGUAAUGAUUAAUAGGGAUAGUUGGGGGCAUUAGUAUUCAAUUGUCAGAGGUGAAAUUCUUGGAUUUAUUGAAGACUAACUACUGCGAAAGCAUUUGCCAAGGAUGUUUUCAUUAAUCAAGAACGAAAGUUAGGGGAUCGAAGACGAUCAGAUACCGUCGUAGUCUUAACCAUAAACUAUGCCGACUAGGGAUCGGAUGAUGUUAAUUUUUUAAUGACUCAUUCGGCGCCUUACGGGAAAC
rnacentral:rRNA from 1 species